CACUUGUGAUGAGCACUGAAUGAUGUAUACAAUUGCUGAAUAUAUUGUACACCUGAUACUAAUAUAGCACUGUAUGUUAAUUAACUGGAAUCAAAAUAAAAACUUAAAAAAGAUAAGACCCUGCUCAAAGUGGGCAAAAUGUGAGAAGCAGAGAUCCAAUGAGUCUGCAGGUAGUGGGUGGACAAAGGGUGCAUACUCCCUCCCUCUGGGAGGUGGUGACACUCCCAGGAGGAAGCCAUUUGGAAAACUGAGGUCUUGAUUUUUUCUACCCCAGAAAAUCUGGCACAAUAUCUAAAAAGCUGAAAGACUUUUCUGGGUUUUCUCUUUAAGGAAAGUUUGGGGAGUAUCCAAGACUCUGAACCUUGCACAAUCCAGCUUGUGAGGGCUGGCCAGCAGUGCUCCCACCAUUCUCCCUGUUCCUGCACUCACUGCAAAGACCUGGGCCUCCUACCAGUGCUUUCCAGAUUCCUAGGGACCAUGUGCUAGAGAAGAUUCCUUAUCACACUGGCUUUCCUUCCCUAAAAUGCGAGGUAAAUCCAUGGUCAUUCAAUAUAGACCUAACACUGACUUUUCUUUGCCCUUACUGGAAUUCUUGGGGAAAUCCAGCAUGGAUUUUCCUCUUUUACUCUCACAAUUAAAAAAACUCAUUUAUGAGGGUAAGGCACCGAGAGACGCAACCUGGCAGGGCUCUCCUACUCUACUUUACACUUUUUAUCUUACCAUUUUUAAAAAUGAGAAAGGCGGCUUUUUUUUUUUUAACCACAAACCAUUUUCACAUUCAGAUGCUUGGGUUUUGUAAAUCUUCCCCGGCAAAUUCACACCCUCAGAGCCACACUAGAUAGAAGAGCUGGAAAGCCCCAAACUUCUUUUAUUAAACAUUUAUUCUACUGAGUGUGGGACUGUGCACUAAAACUGCAAUAGGUAACUGGUCACAGGAGGUUACAGCCUCCACUAACUGACCUCAAUGAGAAAUCAAAACUGGAAAGAACUGGAAAACCAGUCAAGCAGAGGCAGGCAAGCAACAUUGUCGAACAAUCAGAUAUAACAGAAAUAUAAUGUAUUUAGAUGACCUAAGGGUCUUUCUCAGGUCUACAUGUAAAUCAGUAAACCUUACUUUUUACAACCAUAGCAAAUUAUACCUUGUAAUGUGCAAGUAUUUGGAGUACUGAUUGAAAGCAGGUCCCCCUUUCCUCUUGUAACAAGCUUUGGAGCAGCUCUUCAGAGCAAUCAGAAAGACCACCUCCCAAACUACAGUCCUCAGGAAGACAAUGAAUAAAGCAUUCACUAACCUACUUUGAGGUUGGUUUUCUUUCAGUGGACAGGAUCAGGUCUCAAAGAAAUGGAAAAAUAAAACUGAAUAAAACAUGGCCCUUCCCCCUUUUUUUUUUUUUUAGCAGUUCAGAUGGAUGCAAAAGAGAGAUUGUGUUUGCAAUAUUCAAUUGUGGGGAGAUCUGUUCCAAGAUCCCCAGUGGAUGCCUGAAUCUGUCUAGUACCAAACCCUAUGCAUAUUAUGUCUUUUGCUGUACAUACAUGCCUAUGAUAAGGCAUAAUUUAUAAAUGAGGCACAGUAAGACAUUAACUAAUAAUAAAAUAGAACAAUUAUGGUAAUAUAUGUAAUAAAAGUUAUGUGAAUGUGAUGUCUCUCUAACAGAAUAAGUAGAGUUAAAUGGGCAAGUUAGGGCUGGCCUGGAAAGAGUUCUUACGCCAGUCUAAGGAGUUUGGGAUUUAUUGGUCAGGCAAUGGGGAAGCAUUGUAAGAUUUUAAUUAGAGGAUUAACCUGAUUCAUUCAUUCGCUCCUUUCCCUACUUUCCCUUCCUCUCUCUUCCUCCCUCCCUUCCUCCUCCCCUUUUUUUCUGACUUUAGCAUCAGCCUUUAGGAUGGUUUGGAUGCAGAAGAAAGUGCCCAGGGGUUGGUUAGUUAGGAGUUGGCUUUAGGCCAUUUGGGCCUAAGCCUAAGUAGUGGCAACAGUGAAGCAGGGAGCUAAUCAGGAAGCAGAAACCAUAGGAUCUAAUGUGCAAGUGGAUUUAGGGGGAAGGGACAAGGAAAAGAAUGGAGUUCCAGCGAUGUUUCAGUAUUCUAACUCAAAUAAUUAGACACAAGAUGAUAUAAUUAACUCAGAGAAUAUGAGAAGAGGAUAGGUUCGGGGUCAAAUAAAGAAUUAGUUUGAGUCAAAAGCGCUUUAUAGUGCUUGUAACACAUUUAGGUGAAGAUGUCCAGGACACAAGUAGAAACAAAGACAAAGCUAUGGGAUACAGGAGCUAGAAGCCAGAAGAGGGAUGCACUCAGCCCAGUGGAGCUUCCUGAUCAGGAAGGCAUCCGUCUGAUGACAGAAGCCCAGGCAAUAGCAACCAACAUUCUAAAAGGUUGCUAGGGAAAAAAGCACAAAAGCAGAUGGAGAAGAGCAGAAGCUGGACAAUGGAGAGCAGCUCGCGUUAGAGGAAGUGGAGAGUUAAAGCAGGGAGAGUCCAUUUGACAUUCCCACGUCAACACUUACCUUGGUGACAGUUAAGACAACCAUCAAAGUGAGUGGGAUUUAGGAUGAAAAGAGACAUGUGGAGGUGUCUAAGAAACUCUUUGAAGAAUCCUCACUGUGAUGAAUAAGAAGGCUAGGUAGAACUGGAGGUCAGCUAGAAGGACUGUUUUAAGGCCUGAACAGAGUUGAGCAUGCCAUUUGCUUUCUGCAUAGUCACAGUCAGAAGCAGCCAGGAAAAUACUAGGAAAUUGUCUGAUUUAAAGGAAAAUCUAAUCUUUGUCAAGAGUAUGAUGGUGAAGCAAAGCAAUGCUGCUUCUGUCUAUCUUAAUGGUUAUUCUUUGUUAUUUUAGGCCAUCUGUAAUCCAGGGGCUCAGGUGAAAUUUGUACUUUCUGGCCCAGCAGGUUAACCUAGUACCUGAAAGCCAGUGUCCAUAGGAAGAGGCUUAGAGCUGGUUCUGUGUGAACACAGAAGGUGUUUUCCAGAAUCUAUGUUUGUUAUUUUACUUCAUGCAUUUUUUUAUUCACUUAUUUCUUUUGAAACCAUGCUCUCUUAUUUAAAAUCUGAGUUCAAUUAAGAGAAUCUUAUUACUCUGGAGAUUUUUUUCAUAUUCAUGAUCAUAUGAUUUUAAGAAAUAGCUAAAUCACUAAAUAAAGGUUCCUCUCUCGCUUUUUUUUCUCUUUCUUUUCCCUCAUCAAGAGAAGCUUGUCUUAUUUGAUCUGGAAUCAUGUGGGUGGUCCAUUUCAGAAUGCAAAAAAAAGAAACGUGAAUGGAAACCCAUCUUCCUGGGACAGGGUGCCGCCAACUCUGGGCUGUGUCACCCUGAGGUCCAGGCCACUGCUGAAGCGAGCUGGAUGAAUUUACAUGAGAAGCCCAAGGAAACUGUUUCCCCAAAUGCAAAGUUAGAGAGACUUAGUGUGCUUGACCAGAUCAGUCCUGACCAGGGCCCUGUGGUAACGAAACUCCUAAAACUUAAAAAAGCAAGCAAACAAACAAAAACUGUUGAGAGAAGGGCUCAACCAUCAGGAGGCUAAUUUCAGUCCGUCCAUGGCUUGUGCUGAGAUGUAAAAAGUCCCUCCAGACCCUACCAUUCUGUCUCUCAGAAGGUGCUAAGGGAGGCAAGGGGCUGAAGCUAGGACUCACAACACUGAGUGGUGACCUUGGAAACCCAGAAGGGUGCCUUCUUGGCCAAGCUUAGUGCUCAAGGAGUGCGAAACCCUUGAUGAUGCACUAGAUUUUGCACAAAGGGCAUGAGGUUUAAUUUCAAAAUGCAGACUUGGGUAUCGUAGAGUGAAAGCAAACAGGGACACACGACGUGCAUUUUCAAUACUCCUACUUAGUGAAAGCUGGUGAGAACAUUUUCAUUCUUUUUAAACAAAGGCAAGCAGUUCAACUACUUUCUGGGUGUCCAUCCACCUCAAGGUAGAGAACCUCAGUCCCUCAUGAGGGAGGGAACUAUUCAUUAAGCCCCGAAAACAGCAAGGGCUGAGGGCGGGGCUCUAUCACUUGGCCACUACUAUGCAACAUAUACACUUUCUCCCUGGGCCAUCAUGGAUUCCAAAGGCAAUAUAAGAUCCUCACAAAGACAGGGAGUUCUUAUCUUGUGAGUUAUUUAAGCAAUAUGAUGAGCAAAGUCUUUCAGAUCAUUUGCAAUGUUAUUCUUGGAUAACUUGAUGUUUGUUCAUCAGCCUUAAUAACUUUAUUAUAUGAACUCCUGGCAUUCAUGAAAUGGUACGUGGCCUCCUAACUGGUGGUAUGACCAAUUAUUUCAUUCACGCCACGAACUUUUAUUGAGCACCUAUUACAGGCCAGGAGCUACACUAGGGUCUGGCAAUAUAAUGAUAGAAGACAGGUCCCUGACCUCAAGAUACCAAAUAGAUAUUAAGAGAUAAUAGAAAAAAUAUAUAUUGGUCUCUGCCCCGGCUCCUGACGCAAGGCUCCUGAAACCUUUGUAAUUUCCUAAGUGAUAAGAACACUAGGCACUUCCUUUGUUGUAAUAUUUGAUCGUUGACUUGAGCUACUGACAUAGGACUUCCGAAACCCUUGUAUUUCCUCGGUUAAUAAUAGUGUCUUUUUUUCUCCGUGGGGUCCUGGAUGGCUCCUGGAUGAGAGCUGGUAUUGGAAAGACCAAGCUGUGAUUAGAAACUUGGAAUUUUCAGCCCUUCCCCUCCCCCAUUCUCUUGAGAUGGAAGAAGGCUGAAAGUAGAAUUAAUGACUGAUUAUGCCUAUAUUAUGAAGCCUCCACAAAAUCCCAGUAAGAUGGGAUUCGGGGAGCUACUCCAUUGGCGAACACAUCCACCCUAGGAGGGUGGUGAACCUCCAACUCCAAAGGACAGAAGCUCCUGCACUCAGGACCCUCCCAGACCUCGCCCUAUGUAUCUAUUCAUCUACAUCCUUUAUUUAUAUUUUAAUAAACUGAUAAAUGUG